rnacentral:rRNA from 1 species
CUGAAGGAGCAACUGCCGCGUGAGCGAUGAAGGCCUUCGGGUCUGUAAAGCUCUGUUGUCAGGGAAGAACAAGUACCGGAGUAACUGCCGGUACCUUGACGGUACCUGACCAGAAAGCCACGGCUAACUACGUGCCAGCAGCCGCGGUAAUACGUAGGUGGCAAGCGUUGUCCGGAAUUAUUGGGCGUAAAGCGCGCGCAGGCGGUUCCUUAAGUCUGAUGUGAAAGCCCCCGGCUCAACCGGGGAGGGUCAUUGGAAACUGGGGAACUUGAGUGCAGAAGAGGAGAGCGGAAUUCCACGUGUAGCGGUGAAAUGCGUAGAGAUGUGGAGGAACACCAGUGGCGAAGGCGGCUCUCUGGUCUGUAACUGACGCUGAGGCGCGAAAGCGUGGGGAGCGAACAGGAUUAGAUACCCUGGUAGUCCACGCCGUAAACGAUGAGUGCUAAGUGUUAGAGGGUUUCCGCCCUUUAGUGCUGCAGCAAACGCAUUAAGCACUCCGCCUGGGGAGUACGGCCGCAAGGCUGAAACUC